rnacentral:rRNA from 1 species
GAAUUUUCCGCAAUGGGCGAAAGCCUGACGGAGCAAUACCGCGUGAGGGAUGAAGGCCUCUGGGCUGUAAACCUCUUUUCUCAAGGAAGAAGACCUGACGGUACUUGAGGAAUAAGCCACGGCUAAUUCCGUGCCAGCAGCCGCGGUAAUACGGGAGUGGCAAGCGUUAUCCGGAAUUAUUGGGCGUAAAGCGUCCGCAGGCGGCCUUGUAAGUCUGUUGUUAAAGCGUGGAGCUCAACUCCAUUUGAGCAAUGGAAACUACAAGGCUUGAGUGUGGUAGGGGCAGAGGGAAUUCCCGGUGUAGCGGUGAAAUGCGUAGAUAUCGGGAAGAACACCAGUGGCGAAGGCGCUCUGCUGGGCCAUAACUGACGCUCAUGGACGAAAGCCAGGGGAGCGAAAGGGAUUAGAUACCCCUGUAGUC